UACGUAGGUGGCAAGCGUUAUCCGGAUUUACUGGGUGUAAAGGGCGCGUAGGCGGGAGAGCAAGUCAGACGUGAAAUUCCAGGGCUCAACCCUGGAACUGCGUUUGAAACUGUUCUUCUUGAGUGAUGGAGAGGCAGGCGGAAUUCCGUGUGUAGCGGUGAAAUGCGUAGAUAUACGGAGGAACACCAGUGGCGAAGGCGGCCUGCUGGACAUUAACUGACGCUGAGGCGCGAAAGCGUGGGGAGCAAACAGG
rnacentral:rRNA from 1 species